rnacentral:rRNA from 1 species
GAGUUUGAUCAUGGCUCAGAACGUACGCUGGCGGCACGCCUAACACAUGCAAGUCGAACGAAGUAGCAAUACUUAGUGGCAGACGGGUGAGUAACAUGUAGGUAUCUGCCCUUUGGCCUGGAAUAACACGAGGAAACUUGUGCUAAUACCGGAUAAGUCUUUACGGAGAAAGCUUUAUGCACCAUUGGAUGAGCCUGCACUUGAUUAGUUUGUUGGUAGGGUAAUGGCCUACCAAGACUGUGAUCAAUAGCUGAUUUGAGAGGAUGAUCAGCCACAUUGGGACUGAGACACGGCCCAAACUCCUACGGGAGGCAGCAGUGGGGAAUCUUGCACAAUGGAGGAAACUCUGAUGCAGCGAUGCCGCGUGAGUGAAGAAGGCCCUUGGGUUGUAAAGCUCUUUCGUCGGGGAAGAAAAUGACUGUACCCGAAUAAGAAGGUCCGGCUAACUUCGUGCCAGCAGCCGCGGUAAUACGAAGGGACCUAGCGUAGUUCGGAAUUACUGGGCUUAAAGAGUUCGUAGGUGGUUGAAAAAGUUAGUGGUGAAAUCCCAGAGCUUAACUCUGGAACUGCCAUUAAAACUUUUCAGCUAGAGUAUGAUAGAGGAAAGCAGAAUUUCUAGUGUAGAGGUGAAAUUCGUAGAUAUUAGAAAGAAUACCAAUUGCGAAGGCAGCUUUCUGGAUCAUUACUGACACUGAGGAACGAAAGCAUGGGUAGCGAAGAGGAUUAGAUACCCUCGUAGUCCAUGCCGUAAACGAUGUGUGUUAGACGUUGGAAAUUUAUUUUCAGUGUCGCAGGAAACCGAUAAACACACCGCCUGGGGAGUACGACCGCAAGGUUAAAACUCAAAUGAAUUGACGGG